rnacentral:tRNA from 1 species
CUCUCCAUCGUCUAACAGGAUAAGGCUCUUGCCUUCUAAGCAAGUAAUUGGGGGUUCAAAUCCCUCUGGGGAGACUA